AUUGUACUUCCUUCAUUCCGAAUUACUUGUCUUGGAUAUCCGUAUCUAGACUCAUUUUAGUGCUAGAUACCUCCGUAUCUAGACAAAUCCAAGACAAAUAAUUCGGAACAAAGGGAGUACUUU
rfam:Triticum urartu cultivar G1812 contig548621, whole genome shotgun sequence.